rnacentral:tRNA from 1 species
GUUUUAAUAGCUUACAUAUAGAGCGCAGCACUGAAGAUGCUGAAGCGGUAAACUUUACCUUAAAACA